AUGAGGGAAAUUGUAUUUGGAGACCUUUAUGAUACUGAAGUAUACAACCCUUUUUAUAUGACAAAAAAGGACCCAAAUUAUGGAAAGGUUAUGAUCUCAUCAGUUUGUGAUCCUCUGUUUAGAAGACAGCAAGAAGAAAAAAAAAACAAGAAAAAAAAACAAGAAGACAGCAAGAGAUGGAUGAAGAGAGCUGUUUUUUAAUAUAAGACAGUCCUGAAAAACUUACCUAUACAGAAAAUAAAUAUCUGCCUGAUAAAGAGAACAAGACUACCGACCUACGAAUAAAAGGGAUGAGAAGAAUUGUGUGGUGAGCAGAAGAGAUCUUGGGGGCAAGGGGGAAGAUCAGGUGGGUGGCAAGAGUUUGCAACAUGCACAGGAUAGCAGACCCUGAUAUUGAAAUCUGAAUCAUUGACAAAUCCCUCCUCCCAUGGGUUCUGCAGGGCAGAGAAGGCAGGAGCCAAAGAAGGGAGUGAAAAAGAGGAUGCAGAAGAGGCUUUAUUUUAUGCACAAUGAUGGGUUUGCUUCUCAACUCUGUGCUGCUGCAUAUGGGCAGCCCGAGGCAGGGAGCCUGAGGCUCUAGAAACUCAGAAAAGGAGCAUUUUGGUGAAUGCUGGGGGGGACAGACUAUGCCCUUUUAAGAUGAGAGAAACCCUGGCCACAGUGUUCUGCCCUCUAAGAUUUCUUUUCUCUUCUGCCAUUUUUCUAGCAUUCAUACAUCCAAACCAAACCAAAAGAUUUGUUUUCCUUAGUAGUCAUAAUAGGUGGGGAUGUUCUGAAAUGAAAUUUAUAUGAAAAAUUAGGCCAAAUGACGGUUUCAAUACAUGAAGGUUUUUGUUUUUUUAAAGAUUUUACUUCUUUGAGAGAGAUACAGAAAGUGAGCAUGAGCAGGGGGAGGGGCAGAGAGAAGAGAAGCAGGCGCCCUGCUGAGCAGGGAACCCAAUGCAGGGCUCCAUGCCAGGACCCCGGGAUCAUGAUCUGAGCCAAAGGUAGGUAUCUAACUGACUGAGCCACCCAGGCAGCCCCAUGAAAGUUAUUUCAUAUGUAAGCUUUUUCCACACACAGGUUGCUUUUCUUUUUCUUUCUUUUUUUUUUUCAAAGAUUUUGUUUAUUCAUGAGAGACAGAGAGAGAGACAGAGGCAGAGACACAAG
rnacentral:lncRNA from 1 species